rnacentral:rRNA from 1 species
UUUAAUUAAAAAUUUAAUUUUUUUAUUGGGUUAGAUUUCUUUUAAUUUAAAGAAUUUUAUUGUUGUGUUAGUUUUAGUAAAGUUUAUUGAAUAGAUUAUAUAAUUUAUAGUUAAUUUAGUAUUGUGAAAGAAUAUUGAAAUAUAUUGAAAAUAUUAUUUUUGUAAAGUAGAUUUAUGAUUGUACCUUGUGUAUCAGGGUUAAUUAAUUAAUUAUUAAUUAUUUAAUAAUCCCGAUUUAAAGAGAGUUAAUAUAAUAUUUUAGUUAAUGUUUUAUAAUUAUUAAAAAUAUUAUGUUGGUAAUGAAAUGUUAAUCGAUCUUUAAUAUAUCUGGUUUUCUAAGAAUUGAAUUUAAUUCAGUUAUUAAUAUUUAAGUUAUUAAAUUAAAGAAUGAUUUAUAUAAUUAAUAGUAGAAAUUUGGGGGAUAAGCUCUGGGUUUUAACUUAAAAAUAUUUAAUUUGUAUGAAUAAAAGUAGGCUUUAAAUUAGCUUUCUUUGGAAUAUGUUAUAAUUCAUUUAUGAUAUAUGUAUAUAAUUAAUGAUUUUAUAAAUGAUUUAAGUGUUGUAUUGGAAUAAUUUUAAUAAUGAUUUAUAAUUUGUGAUAAUGAUUAAAUUAGUAUAAUAAAUAAUGUUUAAUUAAUUUUAUUAAUUAAUUUAUAAUAAGGAAUUAGGCAAAAAUAGUACUCGCCUGUUUAACAAAAACAUGUCUUUAUGUUUAAUUGAAUAUAUAAAGUCUGGCCUGCCCACUGAGAAUAUUUGAAGGGCCGCGGUAUUUUGACCGUGCAAAGGUAGCAUAAUCAUUAGUCUUUUAAUUGGAGGCUGGUAUGAAUGGUUUAACGAGGUAUUAACUGUCUCAUUAUAAAAUUUUGAAUUUAACUUUUUAGUCAAAAGGCUAAAAUGAUUUUAGAGGACGAGAAGACCCUAUAGAGCUUUAUAAUAAAUUUAGAUAAUUAAUUUUAGUGGGUUUAAUUUAAUUUUUUAAAGAAAUUAUUUAGUUGGGGUGACUUGAAGAUUAAAUAAACUCUUUAUUUAAUAAACAUUAAUUUAUGGUAAGAUGAUCCAUUAUUAGUGAUUAAAAGAUUAAGUUACCUUAGGGAUAACAGCGUAAUUUUUUUUAAGAGUUCUUAUCAACAAGAAAGAUUGCGACCUCGAUGUUGGACUAAGGAAUAUUAUUGGGUGUAGAAGUUUAAUAAAUAGGUCUGUUCGACCUUUAAAUCCUUACAUGAUCUGAGUUCAGACCGGCGUAAGCCAGGUCGGUUUCUAUCCUUAAUUAAUUAAAAUAUUUUAGUACGAAAGGACCAAAUAUUUAAAAAAUUUUUAUAUAAUAUGAUUGUUAUUAAAUUAAUUUU